GCCGCCUCUCCGCGCACGCGCGGGCCGCCCGCAGCCGCCGUUCUGCCGCCGUGUGGAAAGCGGUGGGAAAAGCGGGGUGAACGGCGGUGUAGCUGUUGGGUGAGCAGCCUUGCGCAGCUGGGGGCGAAGGGAUGUUGGAACGAGGUCGGAGCGUGGUGAUGAAUUAGCUGAACUGCUUCUAGCGGAGACGCGUUGGUGGGAGACGCCCCUCGUGGGGACGAGGUGAAGUUGUUCCGUGUGAGAAGUCGCCGUGCGGUGACACCGAGGCGUGCGCUCCUGCCAGGUCGCCAUAAGCCUUUGUGUGGAAUGGGUUGUGAAGGUGCUCUUUGUAACGGGUUUUUGACCUUACUGAGUGCAGAGUGCAAGGGAUGAUGAAACCGAGUCCUGGCCUGAAGUGGUGAUGGAGCACCUGGUGGGGAGGCAGGGCCAACCCAGGGCAGCUCGGGUGCGUGCAGUGUGCCUGAGCGACUGGGAGGGCUGCAGCCGGGAUCCGCCCCUUCCCAGGCCUCAUCUAAGGGUUAGCAGCAGAGGCUAGGGGAUCUCUGCGGGUCCCUGUGUACCUGAGGCUUUCCAAAGUUGAGCAGUUUCUUUCCUUUAUUUCUGUGCCCGCAGCUGAGCAAAUCUUUACUUGCUGCAGCCUGGGACCUUGCAGCUCUGCUGUCACUGUUGCACUUUUCCAUUGCGUUGCAUCCUCUUUGAAGAGGGCUGUAAGAUGGGUUAAGUUAUGGUUCCUGUUAACCUGUCCCAAAGCAUUCUAGGUUUUAACCAUCAGCCUGUUUAUUCCUUUGUUUUUUCUUAGAGUUCAGAGGGUACUAAAGUUUAUGGGGUUGAUCCCUUUAUCAUUUUCCUCUAAAAUGAGUGAAUUGUAAAAGGCUUAGUGAGAAUUUUACUUAAUUGGUGUACAAAAUGCUACUGGAGUUGAAAUUUUUUUUCAUAUUGUUAUUUUUGUGGAUUUAUCCUUUGGAGUUUGAGCAAGAGAGAUUGAAAGAGGAAGAACAAUAAGGACUUCCAGAGCUGAUCUUCCAGAGAAUAGCACAGAGAAAGACAGGUGUUAACUUAAUCUUCAAAUCAGAGAUACAAGUCCAGUUCUCAGUGAAGAUCUUGAUUAGCUGUUCGUUACAGAACUGCAUUUGUUGGAGUCUCCCAUGGCUUUUUCAGGGAAUGUUUUGGACCCUGGUUCAAUGUCAAUGUGUGUAAUAUAUGCAUUAUGAUAAAGAUUUAAAAAAAAAAAAAAGUUCUUACUGAUAAGAGACUUUGAAAUUCUUGUUACAUUAAAAAAAAAAAAAAAGUGUGAAUGCGUAGAGAGCUUAAUAAAGCAUUUUUCUCUACAAGCUGUCAUUCAUGCAGGAAAGCCCUUAGUUGUUCACUCCUAAUAUUUUUAUCUGUGUAAGCAAUAGGAACCCUAACUUAGCUCAAGAAUUCCCAGGCGGAGAUUCAUUGAAUGCUACCAGCAGCAGCCCUGGCAGGUUGAGCUCAUCAGGACUACCAUAGUCCAGGCUUCUUCAGGCAUGUCUUUUGUUAUCUUUCUUUUGUUCUGCUUGCAAGUCUUCUCUAUAUGGAACUUUAGAAGUAUUGCUUUAAUAUUUUUCUAGAAUUUCCAGAUGUUUAGCAGUCUAACUGGAGCCAGUUUUGUAUAAUGCAUCCCCCUGGACUGCCCUAUAUUUGAACAGUCUGGAUGCUUUUAAAGGAAACGUAAAUAUCUUGAAAAAUUCUCUGGUGCAUCAGGGAAUUGCAUGACGAACUUAGUCUGUGCUGAAGUCACCUUCAUCGUGUGCAAUGAGGUGCCUCAAAGCUUUGGUUUACAAAACUGGAAUAGUUAUAACUAUUGGAAAUCCAGAUAUCACAGGGUGAUACCUGUGUGCAUACCUUUAAAUUCACAGGCCAGGACCUCAGCCUUGUGAUCUGUCUCCAUCUUUCCACUGAGCCAUUCACUUAUCAACCUCUUUUUGGCUUUUUUGGGGGGCGUUUUGCUGUCACCAUCAAUGACAAAACCACCACCUGUGCUACCACUGUUAGUGUCCUGAUGCCCUUCCUCAGCCGUAUCACUUUCUUAUUUAUCACUACUAUGCUGUCUUUAUCCAGCUUGAGGAUCUUACAGCCUUGCAGUUAGUGCCACGCUGCUAACAGGCAACCUUAUUCAUAUAUGGAAACACUUUUUCAUUGUCCUUGCCAGGAGUUAAGAUGGCAGGUGGUCAGCUCACCCAAAUAGGCUCAGACACCUUGAUGGGAAAUACUGGAUGUUACAUUCUAUGGCCUGCAUAGAUGCAUGUGAAGAUGCCAUCUGCAUGCCCUGUGCAGGGACUCUAACCUCCCAGUGCCUGUAGGAGGCAGAGUCAGAUAGAGUCACUGCUACAUCACAUGUUCAAGUAAUUGGAGCACUGCUAGUAAUUAAAAAAAAACAACCAAAAUUUAAUAAUUCCAGUCCUAGUAUGAUAGCUGUUCAUGUGGAAAAUACUGUUAAAAAGCACUGACCACCACCUCUGUUACUCAAACUGUGUGAAUUAGUCUUUUGAGUGAAACUGAAUAGAGAGAUAGUUAGGGUUUCCUGCUGUUUAACAUCUAAUCUUAAUGAAAGAUGGGGAGAGUGUUUCAGCAGCACACAUUUCUAAUGAGUUGAAUUAAAACAGUUUGCAGAUGAAAACUUGCUUAAGCCAGCUCACUUGGUGGUGCUGCUUUCUGCUUUUGCAGGCUUCAUAAGGAAAACUGAAGGAGCAUCAGUUGAAGUGACUGAAAUCCUUCUAUGCAGGUGUAAAAUGUGACCCUCCUGAAACAGCUCGUAAAAUUUACAAGAAAUGCAGUUUGGAAUUUGAAAGUAGUUCUUUUGUUGACUCGAAGUGAAUCUAAUGGCAGCUUUCUUAUGUAUCCAUGGGGAGGAGAGGCUGUUAAUUUAAAACUGUUUAAAAAUAAUAUGGGCUGAACAAUAUUUACUGUAUAUUUUGCAAUCAAAACGAGAUUAAUUUUUUUUUAAUAAAUUCAGCACACAUUGAGUUUGUCAAGGUAUUGGGAAUAUAGUGCUUUGUUUAUUUAUUUGUGGAGUAUUUUUAUGUGGAAAUGGAAAGUUAGAGUGCAUCACUGCAUGGGGAAAGCAUUCUCAGGGAAAACAUUCUGGUUGCAUCUCUGACCUAUUGGUAAAAUAAAGUGAAGUUACAAGAUGCUGGUUGAGAAUGCAGAACUAUGUACUGCUCUGUGAAUUUUCUCAGCCAAGGGUCUAGAAGUAGGGUUUUUUCCUUUUUUCCUGAGUUGCUUACCACAGGGCAAGAAUAUAGCUGCUGUUGUUCUGAAGCUGCAAUAAAUCACUGUGCUUGUCCCUGUGAAUGAGCUGGAAGCUCUAAUAUUUCAGAAGUCACGUUUGGGAAAGAAAGAAUUUAAAAUUAUAGUUGUGCUUUGUUCCUAAUGUUUCCUUUUGUUAUGAAAGAGUCUUCCAGUCUGAGCAGAGGAGAGGUUACUAAAUCAAUCACACAAAGAUCUGACAGAAGCUGGCUUUGCCUCCUGGAGGCCAUGCUAUGGGCACUCUUGGAAACCAUGAUAGGUCAGUGCUUGGGCAACCCAGACAAGACUGGCUGAGCACCAGGUGCAGAUGCUUUGGGUUGGAGCAGGAUUUGAGCUGGGUGGCACAGCCAGAGCCAUUGGUCCCUUUCCUGGAAGUGAUGACUGAGUGGCACCAGCAGGGGGAGAGUUGGAUCAGUAUCACAGUGAAGAGGAGGUUAUUGUGAAGACUGACCUACUGAAACUGUAUCGUACCUUGAAUGCAAUAAAACAACUUUGGUUUGGACUAAAUCAUUAUCCAUGGAGAGCUGCAGAAAGCUACCAGGCAUGUCUAAACUCAUAAAAAUAAUGAGAUGGUAAAACCCAUGGAGAGAACUAGUCCAGGAUUUACUUAGUCACCAACUUGGCCUGUUUUGCCAAACUAUGUACUUACAAAUUGUCAUAUUGGAAUUUGCACUGUGUUUUGUGUGGGCUCAAAGAGAAAUGAUAUCUGACUCUGAAAACCACUGUUCUGAGUCCUGGCUUACUGGUUUCCCAUAGUGGUUGAUGGAGAGUUGACUGUCCUGCUGCAAUGGCCAGUACUUACUCAGUACACAUAUAAAUCACUUUCCAUAUUUGAGGAAUAAAGACAAAACCUUGCGGGGAUUUACUGCUAGUGGUUAUUUUGGCAACAGCUGAUGAAUGCAUAUUUGAAACAUCAUUUCUCAUAAUUCCUGUGCCUUAGGAUUUGGCCCCCAUCUAGUUACAACUGUGAAAGCUGGCUGAGAGAGGAACGCAAUCUUCCCGAGUAGCAUUUCCUGAGAUACUAUGGAACCAACACUGGAAAUAACUGCAAGUGGGUGUUGAGCAGAAGGGAGUACUUGGAAUGCUAUUUAGACAGGUCCAGGGUGCUCGAGUAUUUUCCUUAUGUAAAUUGUCCCAUUAUCUGAAAAAAGUAUUAUUUUACUGGCUGGAAGUCAAAGAAAGGGCUUCUUCAUUUGCAGAGGAAACAACAAGCAUGCCUGGAAAAGACUGGGGGCUUACUUGUGCUACCUGCAAAGACCAGACAGUCUUUUAGGGAGAUUAAUAGUCUAAUAUCUGAGUCUCUACAGUUGCCUUAGGAUCCUGUUCUCCUUGUGCAUGCAAUCACUCAGAUGUCAAUUUCAGUUCAUAUUUGCUAGUGCAUCCAGCUUCUUCUUCUGUUGAUUGUAGAAAAGAGUUGCAAAGGUCAUGAACUGAACUGGAAUGGUUGAUAUAGGGUUGUAUUUUUAUGUUCCUGUUUUUGUUUUGUUUUGUUUUAAAUAAAUAUGUAUUUAUUAGUACUACAUGGUUGCUUCGCAGAUAGCUUCAGCACUCCAACCAAGAAUCUGUCUUUGAAUGGAUUGUUUGAGGUUGCCCUCUCAUCUGGACCAAAGGGAAUAAAGGAUGCAAGUCUCCUUCUCUUCCUCCUCUUCUGCUGUCUUUUUUCAGCUUUUCUGUCCUUUAGUAUGCUUCCAAAAGCACUAAAAAGUGAAGGUUCAACAAUUUGCUGCCUGGAAUGCCUCCUGUUUUAAAAUGGGGAUAAAAUAGGUUUGUUAGGUCAGAAGCUCUUUGUCUAGAGAAUUUUUCCUCUUGUCCCAUUAAAAAAAAAAAAAAAAUCAAAAGAAGAAUUAACAAUAAAAUAUGAACUCUGAUGAAAAGCCUAUCUUUCUUAUCUCCAUUAAGUAUUUCUAUUUCUGCUUCGUUUUCCCCAAGAGCCACAGCUUAGCAUCUUCAGUUCCAAAUUGUAGUCUGCCUUGAAGUUUUUAAAUGAAGUUAUAUGAUCUUUCUAGUUUAAAAUCAUCAGUCCUAAGCAGGUUGUAAAUAUCAGAGAUAUCAGAUGAUUUCUUCCCUCUCUUUUUACUUUGUUCACAUCACUGUAGCAAACUAGUAAAAUAUCUGAAUAUCAUAGAAUCACAGAAUCAUUUGAGGGGACCCCUGAAGGCCAUCUCAUUCACCUUUCCUGCAAUGAAUGGAAGCACCUACACUAGAUCAGGUGCUCAGAGCCCUGUCCAACCUGACCUUGAGUGUCUCCAGGGAUGGGACAUCCACCACCUUUCUGGGCAAUCUGUUCCAGUGGGCCUGAUUUGAGUGGAUCUCGUGCUGUGCUGCUGUGUUGCCUGGACUUGCUCAAAGAAGCUCCUACAUUUACCAACAAAUUUCUGCAAUGAAUUUCUUCUUUGAGAGAAUGGAGGACAUGCAUAGGGAAUCUAUGCUGUGUUUGGCAAGAUUGCAUACUGCUGAGUCUGAAUUGGAAGUCAUGAGACAGGGAGAGGUUGGGCAUCAUCAUAUUUCCCUGAGCUGAGGCAAACAAUUUUGCUUGGCAUGGCAUUAAAUAAGAUGUUAAAUUGAAUAUGUACUCCCUUGCCCACAUGUCCUCAGAGUCACUCUCACUUCUAGACAGAAUGCUUCUCAAAAUCCUGGUCAAAGGAGAAAUUUCCAGCUACAGUGUGUUAAAAUGCUUCUCAUAGGGAUGUGCUUGUAUCAGUUUGAAUGUUAGUGAGCCUGCCUGAUUGCAAACACAUUUAAAUUCAUGUUGAGUACGUGAGUACGUGAGAUCACCUCCUUCAAUGUUCAGUCAGACAAUAAGUACCUACACUCUGAUGCCCUCCAUUCCCCUAAAUAGAAACCCAACAUUAAAACAGUCAUUCUAAGAUCCAAGAAGUAAUUAAAUUGUCUAAUGUACACCUCCAUCUCUCCUCAGAUUUUAUUUAGUUCUUUAAUUAUAGUACAGCAAGUUAGAUGAAGCCUCACUGAAACCUCACUGCUUGACAUUCUUAUUCAGAAUAAACUAACACAGCAAAUAAGACCUUUUUCAAUAGGAAAUAAAAUUAGAAGAGUGCAAGACGAAAUCUGAGAUGAUGAACAAGACCAAAACCAGGUACAGAUGGAAAUGUAAAAAGAAUAAAGGAAGCCUUUCAUUUCAAAUAUGUAUGCUGAGAAAUGAUUUACAGAACAAGAUCACCUUCUUGUUGGAGUAGCACUGCAAAUCUAGAGGAAAAACAAGGAUCAGAAACAAAGAAAUAAGGAAUAUUUAGCCAGUUUGGAAAUAGGCACCAGUGGCAAGGAAGAACUUAAUUAGAAACAUCACAAAACAAGCAGAAGUGGACGUCUGGAUUUGAAACACCGUUCUCCUGGAGAAGAAGGCAGGACUGAACUGACAACACUUCUAGCUUCCCCUCUAAAGGAAGAAGGGUUCUAUGAUCAUAUUGCUCAUCCAUCAGUCUCUUAGCAUACCUUUCAUAAUUUGAACCUGUUGGCCAACUUCAAGGAUAUCUGACAAUAUUAAAGUCAAAAUCUGUUUAGCUCACAAUCAGCCAGGUGUUGUGCUGCCUCUUAGUUGCAAAAAAGGACUGUUGGGCAGAGAAAAGAAAACUGGAAGCAAAAGGUGCAUAGGACCUUAUACAGGAUGUAAAGAUGAAUGCACGAAGUGGAAUUGAAGCUUUGUUUAGCCCUGAAAUCCACCUUAGGCAGGGUCAGCGUUGUGUGUCAAAGGAAAGCUGCACAGGCACAGGGCAAGUGCCUUGCCAUGCUUUGACACACUGCCCUCCCAUGCAGUUAGACAGUUCUAUCUCAGAUAUAACGAUUGCGAUCUGAGAGUCAAAAAAAGUACAUCAAGGAAUCUACUCAGCUCAACUCAACAUUGCAGUGAAGAAUAAGAUUUUAUUUGUUAUUAUUUAUUUAUUUUAAGGAGCAAAAAAAGGAAAAAGAAUUGGCAAUAUAGCAACUCAUAACUGAGGUUUGGGUUGUGUGUUACAACUCUGAAAUGAGGCCAAAGAUUUUCGAAGGGUUUUUGAACUUCAUGUUAUUUCCUUGUGGUUUUAUCCAGCAGAAAAGGAAGCACCUGGUAGCACCAAAGACAGAAGCUGAUCUCCAUAAGCCAUAUAGUUCUGCAUCUGUGGAAUAUAUAUGAUAUAGAUAUGAUAGAUAGAUAGAUAGACAGACAGACAGACAGACAGAUAGAUAUGCUAUCUAUGGAACAUGUAUGAAAUGUUUUACUUCUGUAAAGACCUUAGCUGAAAUGAAACUGAUGGUGAGAGAUAUCUUGUACAAAGCAAGCGUAUGUUUACUUCAUCCACACUGUUCAAUUUAUACUAUUUUUUUUUACCUAUCCAAUCUAUAAACAGAGAUGUGUAGAUACAAGCUUGUACUGUAUUACUCCGUAAGCACAAUGUAAUUUUAAUAUGGAUA